GUUAGAGGUUCUCCACCAGAACAACACCAGUGAGUGCUCUGCGGACACCAAGGUCAACAACACCCAUCUCAGUUCUCCAAUGAGGACGGCGGUGCCAAAGGAACACACUACAAGGUCCCGUAAUGGGUUUUGAGGAGGAGAUUGGGACAGUGCCCGAUGGGCACCAUCAAUGCCCAGGUUGUGCUCCCUCUCGCCCGUACAAAGCCGGCCAGAUGGACGGUUGUCAUGGAAACACGGGUCGACUGGCACAGCUCAGUUUGGGUUCAAGCUGGGAUAUAGAUGAGGAGUUUUGACCUUGCCAUAAGAGGGACCCUUGGCUCGGUACUGGCAACUCCCCCACACCUCAUCUCUUCCCUGUCAUGGCCAGACACACCCUGACCAAUGGCUCCUCUCCUUGUCUCCCACGGUCCCCGACUUCU